rnacentral:rRNA from 1 species
UUACCCGCAGAAGAAGCACCGGCUAACUCCGUGCCAGCAGCCGCGGUAAUACGGAGGGUGCAAGCGUUAAUCGGAAUUACUGGGCGUAAAGCGCACGCAGGCGGUUUGUUAAGUCAGAUGUGAAAUCCCCGGGCUCAACCUGGGAACUGCAUCUGAUACUGGCAAGCUUGAGUCUCGUAGAGGGGGGUAGAAUUCCAGGUGUAGCGGUGAAAUGCGUAGAGAUCUGGAGGAAUACCGGUGGCGAAGGCGGCCCCCUG